rnacentral:rRNA from 1 species
GCACUCUGAAGGAACUGCCGGUGACAAGCCGGAGGAAGGUGGGGAUGACGUCAAGUCCUCAUGGCCCUUACGGGCUGGGCUACACACGUGCUACAAUGGCGGCGACAAUGGGAGGCAAGAGGGCGACCUGGAGCAAAUCCCGAAAAGCCGUCUCAGUUCGGAUUGCACGCUGCAACUCGCGUGCAUGAAGGCGGAAUCGCUAGUAAUCGCGGAUCAGCACGCCGCGGUGAAUACGUUCCCGGGCCUUGUACACACCGCCCGUCACACCACGAGAGUUUGUAACACCCGAAGCCGGUGGAGUAACCAUUUGGAGCUAGCCGUCGAAGGUGGGACAAAUGAUUGGGGUGAAGUCGGAACAAGGUAG